AGAGUUAAAUAGUACGUGAAAUUGUUGAAAGGGAAACGAUUGAAGUCAGUCAUGCUGGCGAGAAUCAAUUUUGGGGAAGGGGGAUUUUUUUGAACCUAACUUUGAAAUGCACUUCUUCGCUUGGCAGGUUAGCGUCGAUUUUGAACGUCAUAAAAUGAUUGGGGGAAGGUAGCUCUUUCGGGAGUGUUAUAGCCCUUGAUUAAUGUGAUGUUUGGGAUCGAGGAUUGCAACGGAUACCUUUUAGGCUAGCCGCCUGGCCUCUGAUUCGAUGUUGGGUUAUAGACAGCAUGCUGACUAUGAUCUGAUUAUUGGUCAAAAGGUUAGAGCGAGCAUAAAUUCGUUAAGGACGCUGACGUAAUGGCUUUAAACGA
rnacentral:misc_RNA from 1 species